rnacentral:rRNA from 1 species
GAUUAACGCUAGCGGCAGGCCUAAUACAUGCAAGUCGAACGGCAGCACGGGUAGCAAUACCUGGUGGCGAGUGGCGCACGGGUGCGUAACGCGUAUGCAAUCUACCUGUAACUGGGGAAUAGCCUUCCGAAAGGAAGAUUAACACCGCAUAAUAUCACGAAGCGGCAUCGUUUUGUGAUCAAAUCUCCGGAGGUUACAGAUGAGCAUGCGUGACAUUAGCUAGUUGGUGAGGUAACGGCUCACCAAGGCGACGAUGUCUAGGGGGUCUGA